GUGUAGAAGUCAGUGUAGUACCUAUAUCCCCUGGCAAAGUGGGGCGUACGUUUGGUUGUGCAGGAUGUCUAAAUUCGCAGCCGUAUCCGGUCAGAAUUGGGACGCUAAAUCCAAUGCGAAAGCCACGCUCGCUGCUCUUCAAAGCACCCUUGCACUUACUCGUUGAGAUGUACGUUCAAACAUGUAUGUGGCCUGUUGUAAGGCGAAAUUCCCGUCC
rnacentral:lncRNA from 1 species